AAUGGGUCAGCGACUUAUAUUCUGUAGCAAGGUUAACCGAAUAGGGGAGCCGAAGGGAAACCGAGUCUUAACUGGGCGUUAAGUUGCAGGGUAUAGACCCGAAACCCGGUGAUCUAGCCAUGGGCAGGUUGAAGGUUGGGUAACACUAACUGGAGGACCGAACCGACUAAUGUUGAAAAAUUAGCGGAUGACUUGUGGCUGGGGGUGAAAGGCCAAUCAAACCGGGAGAUAGCUGGUUCUCCCCGAAAGCUAUUUAGGUAGCGCCUCGUGAAUUCAUCUCCGGGGGUAGAGCACUGUUUCGGCAAGGGGGUCAUCCCGACUUACCAACCCGAUGCAAACUGCGAAUACCGGAGAAUGUUAUCACGGGAGACACACGGCGGGUGCUAACGUCCGUCGUGAAGAGGGAAACAACCCAGACCGCCAGCUAAGGUCCCAAAGUCAUGGUUAAGUGGGAAACGAUGUGGGAAGGCCCAGACAGCCAGGAUGUUGGCUUAGAAGCAGCCAUCAUUUAAAGAAAGCGUAAUAGCUCACUGGUCGAGUCGGCCUGCGCGGAAGAUGUAACGGGGCUAAACCAUGCACCGAAGCUGCGGCAGCGACGCUUAUGCGUUGUUGGGUAGGGGAGCGUUCUGUAAGCCUGUGAAGGUGUACUGUGAGGUAUGCUGGAGGUAUCAGAAGUGCGAAUGCUGACAUAAGUAACGAUAAAGCGGGUGAAAAGCCCGCUCGCCGGAAGACCAAGGGUUCCUGUCCAACGUUAAUCGGGGCAGGGUGAGUCGACCCCUAAGGCGAGGCCGAAAGGCGUAGUCGAUGGGAAACAGGUUAAUAUUCCUGUACUUGGUGUUACUGCGAAGGGGGGACGGAGAAGGCUAUGUUGGCCGGGCGACGGUUGUCCCGGUUUAAGCGUGUAGGCUGGUUUUCCAGGCAAAUCCGGAAAAUCAAGGCUGAGGCGUGAUGACGAGGCACUACGGUGCUGAAGCAACAAAUGCCCUGCUUCCAGGAAAAGCCUCUAAGCAUCAGGUAACAUCAAAUCGUACCCCAAACCGACACAGGUGGUCAGGUAGAGAAUACCAAGGCGCUUGAGAGAACUCGGGUGAAGGAACUAGGCAAAAUGGUGCCGUAACUUCGGGAGAAGGCACGCUGAUACGUAGGUGAAGUCCCUUGCGGAUGGAGCUGAAAUCAGUCGAAGAUACCAGCUGGCUGCAACUGUUUAUUAAAAACACAGCACUGUGCAAACACGAAAGUGGACGUAUACGGUGUGACGCCUGCCCGGUGCCGGAAGGUUAAUUGAUGGGGUUAGCGGUAACGCGAAGCUCUUGAUCGAAGCCCCGGUAAACGGCGGCCGUAACUAUAACGGUCCUAAGGUAGCGAAAUUCCUUGUCGGGUAAGUUCCGACCUGCACGAAUGGCGUAAUGAUGGCCAGGCUGUCUCCACCCGAGACUCAGUGAAAUUGAACUCGCUGUGAAGAUGCAGUGUACCCGCGGCAAGACGGAAAGACCCCGUGAACCUUUACUAUAGCUUGACACUGAACAUUGAGCCUUGAUGUGUAGGAUAGGUGGGAGGCUUUGAAGUGUGGACGCCAGUCUGCAUGGAGCCGACCUUGAAAUACCACCCUUUAAUGUUUGAUGUUCUAACGUUGGCCCCUAAUCGGGGUUGCGGACAGUGUCUGGUGGGUAGUUUGACUGGGGCGGUCUCCUCCUAAAGAGUAACGGAGGAGCACGAAGGUUGGCUAAUCCUGGUCGGACAUCAGGAGGUUAGUGCAAUGGCAUAAGCCAGCUUGACUGCGAGCGUGACGGCGCGAGCAGGUGCGAAAGCAGGUCAUAGUGAUCCGGUGGUUCUGAAUGGAAGGGCCAUCGCUCAACGGAUAAAAGGUACUCCGGGGAUAACAGGCUGAUACCGCCCAAGAGUUCAUAUCGACGGCGGUGUUUGGCACCUCGAUGUCGGCUCAUCACAUCCUGGGGCUGAAGUAGGUCCCAAGGGUAUGGCUGUUCGCCAUUUAAAGUGGUACGCGAGCUGGGUUUAGAACGUCGUGAGACAGUUCGGUCCCUAUCUGCCGUGGGCGCUGGAGAACUGAGGGGGGCUGCUCCUAGUACGAGAGGACCGGAGUGGACGCAUCACUGGUGUUCGGGUUGUCAUGCCAAUGGCACUGCCCGGUAGCUAAAUGCGGAAGAGAUAAGUGCUGAAAGCAUCUAAGCACGAAACUUGCCCCGAGAUGAGUUCUCCCUGACUCCUUGAGAGUCCUGAAGGAACGUUGAAGACGACGACGUUGAUAGGCCGGGUGUGUAAGCGCAGCGAUGCGUUGAGCUAACCGGUACUAAUGAACCGUGAGGCUUAACCUU
rnacentral:rRNA from 1 species